rnacentral:rRNA from 1 species
UGAGGAAUAUUGGGCAAUGCCCGAAAGGGUGACCCAGCAACGCCGCGUGGAGGAUGAAGGUCGUAAGAUUGUAAACUCCUUUUGGAGGGGACGAAUGAUAGUGAUUAACAAUGGUCGCUAUUUGACGGUACCCUCGUAAUAAGCCCCGGCUAACUACGUGCCAGCAGCCGCGGUAAUACGUAGGGGGCAAGCGUUGUCCGGAUUUACUGGGUGUAAAGGGCGAGUAGGCUGGCUUAUAAGUCAAGGGUGAAAUCCUGCAGCUUAACUGCAGAACUGCCUUUGAUACUGUAAGCCUUGAGUGCGGAAGAGAGAGACGGAAUUCCAGGUGUAGUGGUGAAAUACUUAGAUAUCUGGAAGAACACCGGUGGCGAAGGCGGUCUCUUGGUCCGUUACUGACGCUGAGGCGCGAAAGCGUGGGGAGCAAACAGG